AGAAAACAAAGUCCGGUGCCAACACUUCCUCUCCUCUGCUCCUUUGACCAACGAAGCUUCUCCCCGCAGCUGGAGCCGCCGCGGCAUCGAUCUGAGCCGGCGCCCACGCACCAAAUACUACAGUGCCUUUUCGACAAGUUUUUUUAUUGUGGUUGUUGAAUUCUCCACCGUGAACCUAGGCCUCUGGGACAUAACCGGUAUCAUUUAUUCGAUAGAUAUUAUCAUAUGCUUAACUUCAAAUAUAAUUUUAUACUACUUGUAAUUUCAAUUUUCUCCUACUUGUAAUGUCAAUUUGCUCUCUAUAUGUACCAAAGUGCAAUUAAAGAUGUAGUUGGAGCUGUUUUAUGUAGUGUUUAUUGAGUUGUUGAGCAGGGUGUUCAAAUGUACCUUGCCUCUAUUGUGCUUAUGUGGAAUUAAUUUGAAUUUCUUUUUUAACUGUGCUCAUUCUUUUUUUCUUUUUCUUUUUUUUUUUGGUAUUUGGUUGUACAUUCUUUUAUGUAGGAUCUAUUACAACAAUUCCAAGAAAGCUGAUGUUCAAACAAGUUUUGUGACCAAGAGAAUGCAUUAUGAAGCAAAUAUUUUUUGCUAUACAAUAUUUUAAUUGUGGUGGAUAGAAUUAUCUUCUUGUAGUUUGAAUUGAGACAAGUUUUAUUUUAAGAUGUAUCUUCAGUCAUAUGAUUCUCUUUUUGUAUUCUAAAUCAUGACAUAUUUUAUUUCAGGUAAAUGUAUUGUCAAUUAGAAACUUUUAUAAAAAAUUUGUGACAGGUUUUAUUUCAAA